AGCUUUGUAUAGUGGCAGACUUGUAGCUAAUGAGGUUUAUUUGAAGCAUAGUUAUUGCUUGCUGAAAACUUUUCCCUAGUAUGC
rnacentral:snRNA from 1 species